rnacentral:lncRNA from 14 species
GGGACACAGUUUGAUAUGCUGAACUAAAAUAAAUUUUCAUCCAUUACCUUGUUUUUCUCAGGUGUUCUUUUCACACUGAUGGAAAUUUGCCAAGUAAAAAGGUGCUGGAACCAUGCAAAAUUUUCUCAAUGGAAGACAGGUUCCUGGCAAGUUAUGUACCGAUGGUACAGAAAUAUGGGACAGAAAAGCUGAGGAG